rnacentral:rRNA from 1 species
GCUUAACACAUGCAAGUCGAACGGUCUCUUCGGAGGCAGUGGCAGACGGGUGAGUAACGCGUGGGAAUCUACCUAGUUCUGCGGAACAACAGUUGGAAACGACUGCUAAUACCGCAUACGCCCUACGGGGGAAAGAUUUAUCGGAAUUAGAUGAGCCCGCGUAAGAUUAGCUAGUUGGUGGGGUAAUGGCCUACCAAGGCGACGAUCUUUAGCUGGUCUGAGAGGAUGAUCAGCCACACUGGGACUGAGACACGGCCCAGACUCCUACGGGAGGCAGCAGUGGGGAAUAUUGGACAAUGGGCGCAAGCCUGAUCCAGCCAUGCCGCGUGAGUGAUGAAGGCCUUAGGGUUGUAAAGCUCUUUCAGUGGGGAAGAUAAUGACGGUACCCACAGAAGAAGCCCCGGCUAACUUCGUGCCAGCAGCCGCGGUAAUACGAAGGGGGCUAGCGUUGUUCGGAUUUACUGGGCGUAAAGCGCACGUAGGCGGAUUGGUCAGUUAGGGGUGAAAUCCUGGAGCUCAACUCCAGAACUGCCUUUAAUACUGCCAGUCUCGAGUCCGGAAGAGGUAAGUGGAACUCCUAGUGUAGAGGUGGAAUUCGUAGAUAUUAGGAAGAACACCAGUGGCGAAGGCGGCUUACUGGU